rnacentral:rRNA from 1 species
UACGUAGGUGGCAAGCGUUGUCCGGAUUUACUGGGCGUAAAGGGCGUGCAGGCGGUCUGUUAAGUGCAGGGUGAAAGCUCCCGGCUCAACUGGGAGAGGUCCUUGCAUACUGGCGGACUUGAGGGGGGUAGAGGAAAGUGGAAUUCCCGGUGUAGUGGUGAUAUGCGUAGAUAUCGGGAGGAACACCUGUGGCGAAGGCGGCUUUCUGGGCCCUACCUGACGCCGAGACGCGAAAGCGUGGGGAGCGAACCGG